GAUGAACGCUGGCGGCGUGCCUAACACAUGCAAGUCGAACGGAAAGGCCCUGCUUUUGUGGCGUGCUCGUGUGCCGAAGGGGUGAGUAACACGUGAGUAACAUGCCCUUGUCUUUGGGAUAACUCCUGGAAAAUGGGGCUAUUACCGGAUAGGAGAUCCUGAAGCACGGGGUGGGAUGGAAAGAUGCGGCGGUUGGGGAUCGAAUCGCUGCUUACGCGCUUGUUGGUGGGGUAGUGGCUGUCAAAGGUUUUGAAGGGUAGCCGACCUGAGAGGGUGAACGGGCACAAUGGGACUGCGAGACGGAGCAGACGGGUACGGGAGGCAGCGGGGGAGAAUAUUGCACAAUGGGCGGGCGCCUGUGGCAGCAACGCCGCGUGCGUGAUGACGUCCUACGGGUGGUAAACAGCUGUGGCCGGUGACAAGGCGGUAUUGACGGUAACGAGUAAGGAAGCAACGGCUAACUACGUG
rnacentral:rRNA from 1 species